GAAGUGCUGUGAGUUUCGCAGCUGCAAAAAGGUUGAAGAGAGGGUAGGGAGGCCAGCAAAGGUCUUCCCCUCCAGACCUGCACAGCUGGCCAUAUACAUGAAGAAAUUAAAUCACCACAGAGCAGCAGUGGUAGCCUUGGCAGGAGGCACAGGACAGCGGGCAGGGUACCAUGGGGACAUCUGACUUAUUUAAGCCAUGGAGAAGAAGAGGAGACACACUGGAUUAUCCUGUGAAAUCUGAAAAACUUGAAAAUGGUAUUCAUAAACAGCCCAUAAAUUAAAAAUUAAAUAAAUUUAAAUAUUUAUCUACUUCA
rnacentral:lncRNA from 1 species